GGUGACUUCGUGUCCCUCGGUGCAAAGAUGUUGGUUGGUUAUGGUUACCCUUCGCGUCCAGCGGUGCUGGUUGGGAUCCGCCCUUUGCUAUUCCGUUCGUCUAUGUGCCAUAGUCGGGCGGGCAUGCGGGGUGCCUCUCAUCAGCGACACGUGGGGGCGCUUGAGUGACGUUUGUUUCGUUUUCGUUGGCGGGCUCCCUGCUUGAGCAGUGAACCGUUUGCGGACGAUCAUCUUCAAAGGCUGAUCCAGGGGCGGGCAAGCCCUGGGCAAAAGGACGGUUUCCUGUGUUGCAUGCCUCGUGAAGGCAAAGCUUGGACCCUAAAGAGAUGAACUUUCGCUCGGUGCCCCAUUGGGGUGUCGGGUGGACCAUUUGGGCUGGGGCCGUUGUCCACCUGUGUGCCGCCGCAAGCGCACGCGGCUUGGGCUAUGGCCUUCGGUCGUGCUCUGGGAUGCCGAACACUGUGCGGGCAUGCUUCCACGUUGUGGAUGCGAAUGCCCAAGCAAAGCGUUCUUUGCUCGAAACGGAGGACGGCCGUGCGUGUUUUGACCCCCCGCUGGCUCGGGGCGGAUCAUGCGCGCCGGCGUCAUCGAGGGUGC
rnacentral:misc_RNA from 1 species